UCAAGAGGCUGUGAGGCAGCUCAGCGUCUCCAUUAGAAUUCAGAGUAUUCCACGGUAAUUACAAAACAGCUGUAAUGGAAAAUUGGUAGUCAAACCCAUUUUCCAGCGACUAGAACGGUGAAUGGGCUCCAUUAUGUUCCUAAUUCUCAUUAACUUAAUUUGCAUAGGAAACAAUGAAGGAAUACAUAAUGAAGUACAGUGGGCCAGCAGCCCAGCCCUCACCCCCACAAUGCUGGGUUCAACUUGCACUGACCCACCCCACAGAGAGGGAGAAACCCAGGGCUCCCUGUGGACUGGACCUCCCCCAGGUGACCUGAAGCUGCCCUGAUGGAGCACAAUGGAGGGAUACCACUUGUCUGUAACUUGUUCAGGAUCCCUUUGCCUCAGCACACACCAUGUAAACCCUGAUUCUUCUCCACACCCCUGCUUUGGGGAAGGCUGAAGAACUGGAGCAGAAGGAAAAAGAACUUGUUUUUAGCUCUUCAGGUGCCAUAACUCUGCAUCCCAGAGAGAAAACAAACACCUGCUUGAGAAGCAGUAUUGUUGGUCCCUGUGUAAGAAACAACCAGACGACCCUCCAGAUACAAACACCUUCUCUUCCCUGCAGCCAGCACCACCCUCACAGUUUGGAGCCACAGCCUACCAUGUAUGCAGACAAUAGGAAACAGCAAUGCCUUUGUGCUUCAGGGAGAAGAGGAGAAGGGCAGGAGAGUAAAUGUGGUCGUGACGAAACACAAACCAUGCAAUGCCAUGCACAUCUUUUUCCUGUUGGAUAUCGGGAUGUAUUUGGCUCAAUAUCUAGUGCACGCACAGUAUCAGGCUCACAAAAAUAUGGAGAACUAACUGGAUACCUGAGAAGAGAAGAAGGGAAAGAAGAAGACUGGAGAUGCAAAUGCAUAGAGAACCUGGAGGCAGAAACUAGAGCAGAGGCCAUGGAGGAGCCAUACUACUGACUUACUCCCAGAUUCACACCUCUCAAGACCACCUGCCUAGAGAUAGCACAGCUCACAGUGAGCUGGGCACUCCCCCAUCAAUCAGCAAUCAAGAAAAGACCCUGAAGACAUGUCUACAAGCCAAUCCAAUGGGGGAAAAUUUUCAACUGGGGUUCACACAUCCAAAUGUGACAAGUUGACCACAAGGUGAGUUAGUCAUCACAGAUGUGAAAUCACUUUGUCAUAGCAUCAUUUUUUUUUCUAUCUCAAGAGGAACUGUAGGUUUUUCCUAUUUCAACGUCUCAAUGGAAGAAUGACUGUCUUGAACAUUAAAUUUGGACUUGAUCUUGCUUUCAGCCGCAGACUUCCUGAGAUGUUACAGCCAUAAUAAACAAACCUCCCUCCUGAUGCCCCAGUUCAGAAUUCCACAUGUGGAAGAGAUUAUUUCAUAGGCGACAUGGCGAAGAAUGAGGUAGCAUCUGAACAAUAAAGGUCUCAGAUCUAAUUUUCUGAACCCUACAAUAAGGUUGAUAACUGAGUGGCGGUUAGCAAUGCACCUUAGACUGAUUUGGCUUCUCUUUCCUCUUAGAACCCUGGGCACACCCAGUGGUAUCCAGAUCUCUCUAGGUAUGAGAUAGUUGAGACCCCAGACUGGGAUUGUAUUAGCCUACAUAAGUAGCUCUGGGUGUCUUGACCUUUCACAGUUACCAGAAUCAUCUGGACACGAUGUUGCAAAUCCCAGUAACUGGACCAGACCCUCCCUAGGUUUGUUAAUUUCAGAUGGCUAGUUUGUAGACUUAGCCAUAAUUAUUUUUGCUAAACUUCUGGCUAUCUCCAUCGUAACGAAUACCAGGAGUCACUGUUCUCCAUGAACCACAAAGGAAGAUCAUGUCUACAUGGAUUACCUAGUUCCAUCAUGUAAUAUUGCCUGAGUGAGUGAUCACAGAGACUUCGGUCUAAUACCACAAAGAGAAGAAUCUCCCAGAGUCCCCUGCGUAGAUGCCCUAGAACAAGGACUUAUGAAGAAUCAGUACUGCAUCCAGAGAAGACAGUGCAGUCCUGAAGCCAGAGCUUGGACACAGAGUCAAACUGAGGGCUGUGAAAUGUCAAGCUGCCAGGCAAAAUCUAAGGACCCCAGGCGAAGAGACGGUUUACCUGUAUUCAGAGCGAACCUUCCAAGCGCAGUGAAACCUUUCUGGAGACACCCUCACGGACAAUCACAAAAGUGUCUUUCUUAGUGAUUCCAAAUGUACUAAAGCUGACAAGAAAGAUCAUCCCGUCACACUGGGUUUGCUUCCAGUCUGCUCAGAGAAGGAUUUCCAAGUUUCUCCAGCUGUACUGAGGGGGAAGCUUGGUUCUGGAGCUAAGGAAGUUCAUCAUUUGGUAAAGAUCUUUCUGCAUUGUCACAUGUCGGAAGACAAAUGCCUGAGAGACAGAGAUCACACAAAUCAGUUCUUUUAUCAGGAACCCAUUCUGAGUUUAAUGAGCCUGAGAAUUUUCCUCCAGAGAACGUUUCCCAGAAUAUUACACAGCUUUGGAAACAAAUACCAGCUCCAGUUGUAUGGCCUGAAAACAUCAGUGUGGUCCUAAAGGAAACAAAUCCACCCUAAGGGAGUAUGAUAAGAACCCAACACAACUGUCUUGAGAGGCUUCAUCCAGACGCUGAUGGAAAUAAAUGUAGAGACCCACAGCCAAAACAUUAGACAGAGCAUGAGGAGUCUUGUGGAAGAGUCGGGGACAGGAUUGAGGGAUCCAGAGAGAUCAAGGCUACCACAAGAAGACCUACAGAGUCAACUAAGCUGGGCCCAUGGGGCUUCACAAAGACUGAACCACCAACCAAAAACCAUGUGUUUCUAUGUUUUCAUCAUUAUUUUCAUGAUAAUGCUAGAAGGAAACGUUGUUCUCAUGCCUCUAUAUAUGAAGGCAACCCAAAAGACAUGUGUCAACCUCUACAGCAGCAAGGAAAGGUUGGGAGUGGGAGGCCUCUCAAUACUUUCUGCUUCUCCAAGUGGCCAAACUCACCGGCAGAUCUUGCUGCAGCAAUGACAAGAAAGGUGCUUCCUGGUGAAGUCCUGGAUGAAGCCUAUGGAGAAGGGAAGGCUGCUGAGAACAUCCUGCCACCUCCCACAAUGCACCAAAAAAAGAAGCCUUGGUCUUUAAUGCCAGUCCUAAUUGAGUGGAUGGACCCCAUAGGUGAGCCCCAAAUUGGGAACCAUGGGAGGUUAGAAAUUAAACAGCAGCUUCAGUCUGCAAACUCAGAAACCUUGCAGGCUGGUGGGAGGAGGAGAAGAAACCAGAACUGGUUCUAUGCCCCGAUGCUCUCUGGUGUGGACAUACUGGUGUAGUUACCUGGUGGUGAAAUUUCAGGGCUCUCCAAAGGUAGAGCCACUCCAGCUUCUCACGGGGACUCUUAACAUUUCACAUACUAAACUAUCUCCUUAUACAGAUAGUGAUGAUGCUGAUAUACUGGGUAAAUUAUUUCCAUUUACAUUAAAAUUACACCUGCUUCAUCCAACGGGGAGGAGGACCAACAGGCUCUGGUGAAGUGGAUCAGAGUGAGAAGAAGCUUAACAGAAUUCUGAAAAGGAGCCUGGUUUGACUCUGAAAGUGUUCCGUAGGGAAAGAAGCCUCACCAGAAAUUGGCCAUGUGAAACAGAACUGAGAAUGGAGAAAAUUGCUUCCAGUUCCAGGUAGAGAGACCAAGACAACAUGAUUGGCAAGUGGGAUAUAUGGAAGAGGUCACUAGAGUUCAAGGUCCUUCAUACUCAUGUGAGAGAAAAAGAAAAAGGAAAUGAUGCAAAGAAGAAAUCAAAAGUCCACUGAGUUCAGUCACCCAUAAGAAACAUGAGAUGCAAGAUUCUUGCCUCCUUAAUGAAACAUCUCUUGUCCUACAUUACUCUUCUUGGACCUAACUUUCUACCAUACAGAGUUUGAAUCAUGUCCCAUCUAAGCCCGGAAUCACAUGAAUUACCUGUCUGGUUUUCUUCUUCAUGGGUCCAUGUGGCAUAAAUAAAAGAACUGAUAUGGUUUGGAGCCAAUCAGACCUUAAAAUACAAAAUCUCCUAUGGUCCUGAAGCUGCCAUUGCUCCAAACAUCUCACCCCAUCUCACUCUAGCCACACUGUACUCAUCUUGAUCAUUCAAACACACCACACCUCCAGAUCAAUUUGCCGAUGAACCAUGAGUAUGAACAUAUGUCACAAGCAAGAAAAGCCAGCAAAAAGUAUAAUCAACCCCUUGUGUAUGGGCCUAUGAUAGCCUGUGCUCUAGAUUGUAGAUCCCAGAUAGACUACCUUGCCUUAAUCUAUAUACCUAAAUGCAGUGUACUCCAGUUGCUUGGCAAAUUUCCUGGACCUACAACUGAUACUAAGAAUAUAAAAAAUAAAGCUGCAUAGUGUUGAACAACUGACAUCUGGAUAUCUUUUGUUCCUGCCUUGUAUAGCCAUUUCUGAUAAACAUAGAGGCCAGAAGGCUCUGAAACUAGAGAACAAUGAGAAAUCUACAAAU
rnacentral:sRNA from 1 species